rnacentral:rRNA from 1 species
AUUGAACGCUGGCGGCAGGCCUAACCCAUGCAAGUCGAGCGGAGCGGCGGACGGGUGAGUAAUAUCUAGGAAUCUGCCUGGUAGUGGGGGAUAACGUUCGGAAAAGGACGCUAAUACCGCAUAAUAUCAGAUGCGCCUAGGUCGGAUUAGCUAGUUGGUGAGGUAAUGGGUCACCAAGGAUACGAUCCGUAACUGGUCUGAGAGGAGGAUCAGUCACCCCGGAACUCACACACGGUCCAGAGUCCUGCGAGAGGCCGCAGUGCGGAACAUUGUACAAUGGGCGAAAGCCUAAACCAGCCAUGCCGCGUGUGUUAAGAAGGUCUUCGGAUUGUAAAGCUCUUUAAGUUGAGAGGCGUUCCCGACAGAAUAAGCACCGGCUAACUCGGUGCCAGCAGCCGCGGUAAUAC